UACGUAGGGUGCGAGCGUUAAUCGGAAUUACUGGGCGUAAAGCGUGCGCAGGCGGUUCGUCGUGUCCGAUGUGAAAGCCCCGGGCUCAACCUGGGAAUGGCACUGGAAACUGGCGGGCUUGAGUGUGGCAGAGGGGGGUGGAAUUCCGCGUGUAGCAGUGAAAUGCGUAGAGAUGCGGAGGAACACCGAUGGCGAAGGCAGCCCCCUGGGCUAACACUGACGCUCAGGCACGAAAGCGUGGGGAGCAAACAGG
rnacentral:rRNA from 1 species